UUAGACUUGAUUUCAACCCCUUUACUCGAUCAAAUUGAGCCAAUUAGCAAUCCAAUUACUAAUUAAUUCUCUUAUAACUUACUAACACUUAAUUAGUAAGUUUGACAAAUACAACAAUUGCAUUGGAUCAAUCAUCAAUCAUAUUAACAAUUAGUUCCCUAUGUGAUUCAUAAUCACAGAUCAACCAUCUGAUCGGACAAAGAUCUCUUUGUGUAUGGCCCCAU
rnacentral:lncRNA from 1 species